rnacentral:rRNA from 1 species
UACGUAGGGGGCAAGCGUUGUUCGGAUUUAUUGGGCGUAAAGGGUGCGUAGGCGGUUUGGUAAGUCUUGUGUGAAAUCUUUGGGCUCAACCCAAAGUCUGCAUAAGAAACUGCCGGGCUUGAGUAUGGGAGAGGUGAGUGGAAUUUCCGGUGUAGCGGUGAAAUGCGUAGAUAUCGGAAGGAACACCUGUGGCGAAGGCGGCUCUCUGGGACGGUACUGACGCUGAGACGCGAAAGCGUGGGGAGCGAACAGG